rnacentral:rRNA from 1 species
CGUAGGCGGCUUAAUAAGUCAGUGGUGAAAUCCCUACGCUUAACGUAGGAACGGCCAUUGAUACUGUUAGGCUUGAAUUAUUAGGAAGUAACUAGAAUAUGUAGUGUAGCGGUGAAAUGCUUAGAGAUUACAUGGAAUACCAAUUGCGAAGGCAGGUUACUACUAAUGGAUUGACGCUGAUGGACGAAAGCGUGGGUAGCGAACAGGAUUAGAUACCCUGGUAGUCCACGCCGUAAACGAUGGAUACUAGCUGUUGGGAGCAAUCUCAGUGGCUAAGCGAAAGUGAUAAGUAUCCCACCUGGGGAGUACGUUCGCAAGAAUGAAACUCAAAGGAAUUGACGGGGGCCCGCACAAGCGGUGGAGCAUGUGGUUUAAUUCGAUGAUACGCGAGGAACCUUACCAAGGCUUAAAUGUAGAUUGACCGAUUUGGAAACAGAUCUUUCGCAAGACAAUUUACAAGGUGCUGCAUGGUUGUCGUCAGCUCGUGCCGUGAGGUGUCAGGUUAAGUCCUAUAACGAGCGCAACCCCUGUUGUUAGUUGCCAGCGAGUCAAGUCGGGAACUCUAACAAGACUGCCAGUGCAAACUGUGAGGAAGGUGGGGGAUGACGUCAAAUCAUCACGGCCCUUACGCCUUGGGCUACACACGUGCUACAAAUGGACGGUACAGAGAGCAGCCACUACGUGAGUAGGAGCGAAUCUACA